rnacentral:rRNA from 1 species
UACGAAGGGGGCUAGCGUUGCUCGGAAUCACUGGGCGUAAAGGGUGCGUAGGCGGGUUUUAAGUCAGAGGUGAAAUCCUGGAGCUCAACUCCAGAACUGCCUUUGAUACUGAGGAGCUUGAGUCCGGGAGAGGUGAGUGGAACUGCGAGUGUAGAGGUGAAAUUCGUAGAUAUUCGCAAGAACACCAGUGGCGAAGGCGGCUCACUGGCCCGGUACUGACGCUGAGGUGCGAAAGCGUGGGGAGCAAACAGGG